CCUACGGGAGGCUGCAGUCAAGAAUAUUCGGCAAUGGGCGAAAGCCUGACCGAGCGACGCCGCGUGCGGGAUGAAGGCCUUCGGGUCGUAAACCGCUUUUAGAUGGGACGAACAAAUGACGGUACCAUCGGAAUAAGAGGUUGCUAACUCUGUGCCAGCAGCAGCGGUAAUACAGAGACCUCGAGCGUUAUCCGGAUUUAUUGGGCGUAAAGGGUCCGCAGGUGGCCAUGUGCGUCAUAUGUCAAAUCUCUGGGCUCAACCCAGAUUCGGCGUGUGAUACGGCGUGGCUAGAGGCUGGGAGAGGUGCACGGAAUUACUGGUGUAGCGGUAAAAUGCGUUAAUAUCAGUAAGAACACCAAAGGCGAAGGCAGUGCACUGGAACAGUCCUGACACUCAGGGACGAAAGCGUGGGGAGCGAAAGGGAUUAGAUACCCUUGUAG
rnacentral:rRNA from 1 species